rnacentral:rRNA from 1 species
GCGGUGCUCCACACCGACCUAGAGGAGCCUGUCCUAUAAUCGAUAAUCCACGCUAUACCUCACCACCCCUUGCAACUCAGCCUAUAUACCGCCGUCGUCAGCUUACCCUAUGAAGGAAACAAAGUAAGCAAAAUAGUUUAUAACUAAAACGUCAGGUCAAGGUGUAGCACAUGGGGUGGAAGAGAUGGGCUACACUUUCUGCCACAGAACACACGAACAGCACAAUGAAAUUAGUGCUCAAAGGCGGAUUUAGCAGUAAGAAAAACAAGACAAUUUUUCUGAAGUUCGCUCUGGAGCGCGCACACACCGCCCGUCACCCUCAUCGCAUCUUAACACCACCUAAAAAUAUUAAACCCGAAUGAACCAGAUGAGGAAAGUCGUAACAUGGUAAGCGCACCGGAAGGUGUGCUUGGAGUACAAACAGUAGCUUAACACAAAGCAUUCAGCUUACAAUUGAAACAUGUUAGUGAAACCCUAACCUUUUUGA